rnacentral:rRNA from 1 species
AUUAUUAAGCGGAGGAAAAGAAAGCAAAAGCGAUUCCCCAAGUAACGGCGAGUGAACAGGGAUAAGCCUAGCGCUAAGGCUCGACGGGAUGGUUGCCAGCAAUGGUGAUCGUCGCAACCGAGAAGGCCGUCGAGCGGUGCAGCGUUACAAACUGCGAUGUUUAGUGGACGCCAUUGGUAGUAGUCGAGCAAUCGGCUGCUGCUCCUAGCCUUGCAUGCAAGUUCCAUUGACUUGGACUAAUUGCAAAUGACCAGCUAGUUGGGGCAACUUGGCUAGCUGGUUGAGCCAGAGCGGGUGUAAGCCCCAUACCGUGCAGGCAUUGGCGCCACGAAUCGUAGAGGACCGCAAGGUCCGCUUUGUUAGAGUCGAGUUGCUUGAGAGUGCAACUUAAAGUGCGAGGUAAACUACUCGUAAGGCUACGCAUAAUACGGCUACGACACCGAUAGCAAACAAGUACCGUGAGGGAAAGUUGAAAUAGAACUUUGCAGAGAGAGUUAACAGGGCGUGAAACCGUUAGUUGGCAAACGAAUCGGAGCCACGAAGUCGUUUCGUUGUUCAAUUGCGCCAGGUUCAGUUUGUGUCGAGAGGCAUGAAUGCAGUCUUGGGAGCAAUCAAACUUUGUAAGCGUACACUGCAACUAGUUAGACGAUUGGUUAUGGGCCAAGUUGGCGAGUCGAGCAAUCGACUUGUUGGCGAAGCAUUUGUUCGUGUGAGUUAGUAGUGGCGCGUUGACUUUCGGGUCUCUGUGUUGCUUGGCGCAUGCGAGUGAGCUAUAACCAAAUACUGACUAGCGAAAUGAAAAUCGCCGCUCGCGGCGUUAGAGACAAAGCAGCGGUUGCACGGGCGUCUACGCGCACGACUGUUGGGUCUAAGCUCGGCACUUUUGAAUUCAGACUUGCUUGCUAUCAGUGGGGCAACUCCUGGUGCUUGUAUAGUUUCUGUCUAAUCGGGUGUUGACUUGGCCUAGCAUUGCUCGGACGCGAAAUGAUUGGACGCUCGCUGCGAGCCAGUUUGCAGCUUGAAUUGGCAGUGAGUAGGUCGGCUUUCCGAACGACCCGUCUUGAAACACGGACCAAGGAGUCUAAUUAGGCAUCGAGUCGAUCGGUCUUGAAUAGGCCAGACGGGAGUUCUUCGGAACUCCAGAUGAAGGCGUAGAGAAAUCAAAUCGUGUGAUCCGACUGGGGCAAUACCAGCCUCUCGGCGCAACAUGUGCCUGUUCGAUGGCAGUUGUUAGCAAUAACCUGCUGGGCGGAGCAAAGAGAUGCCUGAUUGGGACCCGAAAGAUGGUGAACUAUGCUUGGGCAAAUUGAAGCCAGAGGAAACUCUGGUGGAGGAUUGUAGCGAUUCUGACGUGCAAAUCGAUCGUCAGACCUGAGUAUAGGGGCGAAAGACUAAUCGAACCAUCUAGUAGCUGGUUCCCUCCGAAGUUUCCCUCAGGAUAGCUAGCGCUCGCGAAAUGUGAAUAGUUUCAUCCGGUAAAGCUAAUGAUUAGAGGAAUUGGGAGCGAAACGCUCUCAACCUAUUCUCAAACUUUAAAUGGGUGAGAUGUGCGACAUGCUUAGUUGAUGCCGCAACAUUGAGAAUAUAUUGAGCGCUAAGUGGGCCAUUUUUGGUAAGCAGAACUGGCGAUGCGGGAUGAACCGAAAGCAAAGUUAAAGUUGCCGAUAAUAGUGUUGUACAAAUCGAACACUUGCUACACUCAUGAGAUCCCAUAAAAGGUGUGACCCGCUGAAGACAGCAAGGAUGUGGCCAUGGAAGUUGGAAUCAUCUAAGGAGUGUGUAACAACUCACUUGCCGAAGCGCGUCGCCCUGAAAAUGGAAGCAGCUCGAGUGUUGAACUUAUACUUUGCCGUUGGGAUAUAGUUUUCUAAUACAAAACAAUGAGUAGAUCCCAACGUGUAGGAGGGUUGUGUCGGUGGCGUUGAAGGCUAUGAGGGAGUGAUCCUGGCUGGAGCCGCCGAUAGUACAGAUCUUGGUGGUAGUAGCAAAUACUCAAGUGAGACCCUUGAGGGCCAAUGUGGAGAAGGGUUCCAUGCUAACAGCAAUUGAACAUGGGUCAGUCGGUCCUAAGAGAAUGGCGAAAGCUAUUUCUGAAUCAAAGGCGGUGUAUAUUUGCGAUUUAAUAACGUUUUUUCGUGUUGGCGUCUCRGGCGAGACUAAACAUCAGACCAACUAGAGACUARCCAACAACCUAAACGAAAAGUAACGCUUAGAAAACAUCACCGCAUGACUCGAAAGGGAAUAAGGUUAAUAUUCCUUAACCAAGAUGGGGAGAUUGCUGGCAAGUUGUGCUUCACGGUGUGGCUUGCUUGGCAUUGGCGGUAACGCAAACGAGCGCGUCGACGCCGUCGGCAGAAUGGGGAAGAGUUGUCUUUUCUUUCUAAGUUUACUUAGUUUUCAACGAGUCCCUGGAAUCGAUUCACUCGAAGAUAGGCGAUGUAGUAAACGUAAAAUCAUACGGUUCUAGUAUGAUCCCAAUUUCUGUUGACGGCCCUUGAAA